GAUGAACGCGGGAGGCGUGCCUAAUACAUGCAAGUCGAGCGAACGGACGAGAAGCUUGCUUCUCUGAUGUUAGCGGCGGACGGGUGAGUAACACGUGGAUAACCUACCUAUAAGACUGGGAUAACUUCGGGAAACCGGAGCUAAUACCGGAUAAUAUUUUGAACCGCAUGGUUCAAAAGUAAAAGACGGUCUUGCUGUCACUUAUAGAUGGAUCCGCGCUGCAUUAGCUAGUUGGUAAGGUAACGGCUUACCAAGGCAACGAUGCAUAGCCGACCUGAGAGGGUGAUCGGCCACACUGGAACUGAGACACGGUCCAGACUCCUACGGGAGGCAGCAGUAGGGAAUCUUCCGCAAUGGGCGAAAGCCUGACGGAGCAACGCCGCGUGAGUGAUGAAGGUCUUCUGAUCGUAAAACUCUGUUAUUAGGGAAGAACAUAUGUGUAAGUAACUGUGCACAUCUUGACGGUACCUAAUCAGAAAGCCACGGCUAACUACGUG
rnacentral:rRNA from 1 species